UAUGAACUUCAGAGCUGCGCUUGGAGAGAGCCAUAGGACGCGCUACCAACAUCAGGCUAAUGGAACGUGAAGUAUGGACUUUUUGACCGAAAAUACAUCUGUUGUGGACCUGGGAUGCUUUCUGAUGAAGACAACUAAAGGUCUCUGGUCCCCUCCCACCCCUACGGGAGGGCAGUUCCUGCUCAGCCCAGUCCAGUUCCUGCUCAGCCCAGUCCAGUUCCUGCUCAGCCCAGUCCAGUUCCUGCUCAGUCCAGUCCAGUUCCUGCUCAGCCCAGUCCAGUUCCUGCUCAGCCCAGUCCAGUUCCUGCUCAGUCCAGUCCAGUUCCUGCUCAGCCCAGUCCAGUUCCUCCUCAGCCCAGUCCAGUUCCUGCUCAGCCCAGUUCCUGCUCAGCCCAGUCCAGUUCCUGCUCAGCCCAGUCCACCCAGUCCAGUUCCUGCUCAGUCCAGUCCAGUUCCUGCUCAGCCCAGUCCAGUUCCUGAUCAGCCCAGUCCAGUUCCUGAUCAGCCCAGUCCAGUUCCUGCUCAGCCCAGGCCAGUUCCUCCUCAGCCCAGUCCAAUUCCUGCUCAGUCCAGUCCAGUUCCUGCUCAGCCCAGUCCAGUUCCUGCUCAGCCCAGUCCAGUUCCUCCUCAGCCCAGUCCAGUUCCUGCUCAGCCCAGGCCAGUUCCUCCUCAGCCCAGUCCAGUUCCUGCUCAGCCCAGUCCAGUUCCUGCUCAGCCCAGUCCAAUUCCUGCUCAGCCCAGUCCAGUUCCUGCUCAGCCCUGUCCAGUUCCUCCUCAACCCCUCCUAGACCCCCUGCCUGGACCCCCUGCCUGUGAGCCCCUGCCUGGACCCCCUGCCUGUGACCCCCUAGACCCCCUGCCUGUGAC
rnacentral:lncRNA from 1 species